ensembl:lncRNA
GGAUUUAGCUCAGUGGUAGAGAGCUUGCCUAGGAAGCGCAAGGCCCUGGGUUCGGUCCCCAGCUCCGAAAAAAAGAACAAAAAAAAAAAAAAAAAAAAAAAAAGAAACAACAACAAAAACCAUCCUGCCUUGAAACUUGCAGUGCACCAGUGUAUCACAUGCUAUAUACACUAUUGAAAACAACUUUUCUUGCAAAUGCUCAUUUCAUUGAAUCAUUGGUCUGGUUCAAAGCCUCUGGCUUCUGUUCCACCAUCAAUACUGGAUCCUCGUUGGGAAACAUUCAAACAUUUUGUUGUUGCCUUGUGUCAUGGAGAUCUUACAGCUUUGGAACAGCAGCACUGGUCUCUUCACAUGCUCCAGGAGUUCUAGGGUGGAGCCCUCUCUAGGGGGAUAAUACUCAGGCUCACUUCCUGCUCUCAGCUGUGCAUCUGACAGCCUGGCAGCCUGUGCAGAAGCCCCAGGAUCAGAGCUCACUCUCUCAGGCCACAGACGGGUGUUAGAAGAUGGAAGGGAGCAGCCUCAGCCCCAGGUUGACUAUUUGGGAUCCUUGGUCUGCCAAGUCUAGAAGCUAUGCUCUGAAGUUGGACAGCUUACCUGUAUGGCUGUUUGAUCGGUGAGGCUAUAAGUAGGCCAGAUGGGGUUGCUUGCUAUUAUGUGCUUGGUUGGGUAGAGACAACCAUACUUUGCUAUGACAUAGAGACAACACACUGUCCUGGGGAAUAGACAGACAGGCACUGUGGCCAUACCGGACUGCUGCUAGGCAGGAACCAUAAGUGCCUUCCCUGGAGAGGUAGAGGCACAGGCUGCCUGGGCAGAGCAGAGCAGCUGACUGUGCUCUCCCACUGAGUACCUCUGAUAGUGGAGACAGGGCUGCACCCCCAUCUUAUCAUCCUGCCCUGUUUGUUCUUUUCAUGGCCUCCUGAGUCCUUCGGUGUUCUUCAUUGAGC